rnacentral:rRNA from 1 species
GAUGGCGACCGGCGCACGGGUGAGUAACACGUAUCCAACCUGCCGAUAACUCGGGGAUAGCCUUUCGAAAGAAAGAUUAAUACCCGAUGGCAUAAUAGAACCGCAUGGUUUGAUUAUUAAAGAAUUUCGGUUAUCGAUGGGGAUGCGUUCCAUUAGGCAGUUGGUGGGGUAAUGGCCCACCAAACCUUCGAUGGAUAGGGGUUCUGAGAGGAAGGUCCCCCACAUUGGAACUGAGACACGGCCCAGACUCCUACGGGAGGCAGCAUG